CUGAAACAAAAUGAAGGGUCGGGGAGGGAGGGAGGCCGAUCACGUGACCUCUGCCUCGUCGUCUGAUUGGUUUACGAUUACGUCACACGGUUCGGGCGCCUGGAAUGCCUCUCAGCUGCUGGAAGUUUCAACCCAAUGGAAGAACAGCUACAAUGAACAAGUCUUCACUAUCUUCUUUCAGCUGGCAGUAACAGCUUUUUAUGUCUUCCAAUCUCCCGUGGUUUCAGCAAUAUAACAGAUAUACUCUUCAGUCCUCCUGUGCAACUUCAAAAAUGUUUUAUUUCUAAUUAUUCUUAUUUUGGAUUAAAGAUCACCAGCCUGAAACACAGUUUGUCUAACCAGAUGCUGCCUGACCUGCUGAACACAAUGAAAUUUUAGUUUUUAUUAAAAUGCUUUAUAUCCCUUCGUACAUGAGCUGUCACUAAAUAACAGCUAUUUCAACCUGUGUCUGUAGAGUUCAUCUACCUCCCGAGAAUUUAACUUCAUAUUUUAAUACAAUACUGAGGAAGUGCUGCACCAUGUAAUUGCCCAGUGUUCAUAGAAGAUGAUAAACCAAGAUUCUGAGAACCCUCUCCCAAGUACUGUGGGAGACGCUUAUUACAAUUAAAAGCAUUAAAAAUAGUUCAUUCAACCAUUAGCCUCAGUAUAAUUUGUGGGAACUUCGUUCAGCAUUUUCUAUGUUGUACUCGAACCAGGUACUUAAU